CAGCCGCCGCGGUAAUACGUAGGGUGCGAGCGUUAAUCGGAAUUACUGGGCGUAAAGCGUGCGCAGGCGGUUAUAUAAGACAGAUGUGAAAUCCCCGGGCUCAACCUGGGACCUGCAUUUGUGACUGUAUAGCUAGAGUACGGUAGAGGGGGAUGGAAUUCCGCGUGUAGCAGUGAAAUGCGUAGAUAUGCGGAGGAACACCGAUGGCGAAGGCAAUCCCCUGGACCUGUACUGACGCUCAUGCACGAAAGCGUGGGGAGCAAACAGGAUUAGAUACCCCCGUAGUCCCUGUCCUCUUAUA
rnacentral:rRNA from 1 species